rnacentral:rRNA from 1 species
AUUGAACGCUGGCGGCAGGCCUAACACAUGCAAGUCGAGCGGAGCGGCGGAAGGGUGAGUAAUGCCUGGUAAUCUGCCUGGUAGUGGGGGAUAACGUCCGGAAGCGGGAGCUAAUACCGCAUACUAUCAGAUGAGCCUAGGUCGGAUUAGCUAGUUGGUGGGGUAAAGGCCUAACAAGGCGAAGAUGCGUAACUGGUCUACGAGGAUGAUCAGACACACUGGAACUGAGACACGGUCAAGAGUCCUACGGGAGGCAGCAGUGGGGAAUAUUGGACAAUGGGCGAAAGUCUGAUCCAGCCAUGCCGCGUGUGUGAAGAAGGUCUUCGGAUUGUAAAGCACUUUAAGUUGGGAGGCGUUACCAACAGAAUAAGCACCGGCUAACUUCGUGCCAGCAGCCGCGGUAAUUC